rnacentral:lncRNA from 1 species
AUCCUUGCCUCUGUAUAUGAUAUUGAGCAAGCUGGUUGUGACCAGGGUGCUCAUGGGAAUGUACAGUACUUCAAACGUCCCCUUUUUAAUCUGACUCCCCCUUUUCUGUGUGAUCUGUUGCUGCUACCAGACCAGGGUGACCACAAAGCUGUACUUGUCUACAGCCCAAAUCCUUGUUCAAAUAAUUGUGUGCCUAAGUGGACAGUUGGGAUGGCUUUGAUGGCUGGUUCCACUGCUGAUAAAAUAAAGCGAUGGGAAAACUUUCAGCAGGGCAGUAGCAUCUCACUUUAUUAUCACCCUAUUCCGUUUUAAUGCAAGGGUGAGCCACUGUGGGCCACAGUGACUACAAUUCCCAUAAUCUCUCAUCAUUGACUAUGAUGGCUGGGGCUGAUGGAAACCAGAAGCACAAAACAUCCAGCAGUCCUGCCUCUGCAAUGGCCCCUCCACUCCCCCAUCUUCCCAAAUUGAGUGAAGUGUUCUAUCAUUAAAAUGUAAUCACCUUCAACUCAGUACACUUCAACACUGCUCCACUGGAUCGGAGCUCUCCUACAGGAGUUUCUAAGUGACAUGGAGAAGGGCCAAUGCAAUCAUCUGAAUAUGCUUUCCCUGUCAAUGAGGGGAGAAGGGAGUAACAGGGCAAGAAGCCCAUGCUUAGCUCCCUCUGCAGAGUCAAAACUGAAUUCCUGAGCAGGGCUUAAAUGUGGUGAGGGCUCCAAAGCUGGGAACAUUCAAGAGAACAUUGGACAACCAUCUAUCAGACCUACUUUGAUUUGGAUACCUGCACUGAGCAGGCGGCGGGACAUAAUGGCCUUAUAGGGCUCUUUCUAACCCCAUUAUUCUAUGAUUCUAUGUGUUGGGCCAUAGUGAUGAAAACAAGACACAGAAAUGGCUGGUUCUAGUUGCAGCUAUUGUCUCUGCUAUAGUGCCUAACCCCAGCCAUGUACUGCUAUAAACUCUCCCACGGUGUCUGCUCAUGUGUAGAAUUCCACAGGUUUGCAUUGAUCAUGGAUUUUCCCAAUCCCAAAGUAUCAGAAAUCUUUAAGAAGACAUCGAUACACACAUCAAUGAUUUUCAGCUUCAAGUACACAUAAUUAGAGCUACGGAAUAAUGUUGUGUUGCCAAUAUACUCUGGUUUCUCUACAGAUCGUAUAAAUCUUUGGCUGUGUUGCCAAGCAUAUUGUAUGGGGACUGAAGGGGUAGUGGAAAAGUGAAGGAAGCUUAGCUUAUUUAGUGAAAUCAUUUUCCUCUUUAAUGUAUUA